rfam:Schistosoma rodhaini strain Burundi genome assembly, scaffold: SROB_scaffold0004116
AUCCAACUGACGAAUCCUAAAUAGGAUGAAACGCACGUCUUGGAU